rnacentral:rRNA from 1 species
UACGUAGGCAGCGAGCGUUGUUCGGAGUUACUGGGCGUAAAGGGUGUGUAGGCGGUUAUUUAAGUUUGGUGUGAAAUCUCCCGCUCAACCGGGAGGGUGCGCCGAAUACUGAAUGACUUGGAGUGCGGGAGAGGUGAGUGGAAUUCCUGGUGUAGCGGUGAAAAUGCGUAGAUAUCAGGAGGAACACCGGUGGUGUAGACGGCUCACUGGACCGUAACUGACGCUGAUGCACGAAAGCUAGGGGGAGCAAACAGG